UGGGGAAUAUUGCACAAUGGGCGCAAGCCUGAUGCAGCGACGCCGCGUGAGGGAUGACGGCCUUCGGGUUGUAAACCUCUUUCAGUACAGAACAAGGCCUUCGGGUUGAGGGUAUGUGCAGAAGAAGCGCCGGCUAACUACGUGCCAGCAGCCGCGGUAAUACGUAGGGCGCGAGCGUUGUCCGGAAUUAUUGGGCGUAAAGAGCUCGUAGGCGGUUUGUCGCGUCUGCCGUGAAAUUCCCUGGCUCAACUGGGGAGGGUCGUGGGAAGCCGAGAAGCUAGAGGGCAGGAGAGGAGAGUGGAAUUCCCGGUGUAGCGGUGAAAUGCGUAGAGAUCGGGAGGAACACCAGUGGUGAAGACGGCUCUCUGGACUGUCCCUGACACUGAGGGGCGAAAGCCAGGGGAGCGAACCGG
rnacentral:rRNA from 1 species